CAUUGGAGCCAUCCUUGAAAUACCACCCUGGUAAUGUUGAGGUUCUAACUCUGCCCCGUAAUCCGGGGCGAGGACCAUGUCUGGUGGGUAGUUUGACUGGGGCGGUCUCCUCCUAAAGAGUAACGGAGGAGUACGAAGGUGCGCUCAGCGUGGUCGGAAAUCACGCGUAGAGUAUAAAGGCAAAAGCGCGCUUAACUGCGAGACCCACAAGUCGAGCAGGUACGAAAGUAGGUCUUAGUGAUCCGGUGGUUCUGUAUGGAAGGGCCAUCGCUCAACGGAUAAAAGGUACUCUGGGGAUAACAGGCUGAUACCGCCCAAGAGUUCAUAUCGACGGCGGUGUUUGGCACCUCGAUGUCGGCUCAUCUCAUCCUGGGGCUGAAGCAGGUCCCAAGGGUAUGGCUGUUCGCCAUUUAAAGAGGUACGCGAGCUGGGUUUAGAACGUCGUGAGACAGUUCGGUCCCUAUCUACCGUGGGCGCUGGAAAUUUGAGAGGAUCUGCUCCUAGUACGAGAGGACCAGAGUGGACGAACCUCUGGUGUACCGGUUGUGACGCCAGUCGCAUCGCCGGGUAGCUAUGUUCGGAAGGGAUAACCGCUGAAAGCAUCUAAGCGGGAAGCCUACCUCAAGAUAAGAUUUCCCUGUGACUAUAUGUCACCUAAAGAGCCGUUCAAGACUAGGACGUUGAUAGGUUGGAUGUGGAAGCAUAGUGAUAUGUGAAGCUGACCAAUACUAAUUGCUCGUGAGGCUUGACUAU
rnacentral:rRNA from 1 species